UAGGUGGCGAGCGUUGUCCGGAAUUAUUGGGCGUAAAGGGAGCGCAGGCGGAAGGACAAGCCAGAUUUGAAAGUUCGGGGCUCAGCCCCGUGACGGAUCUGGAACUGUUCUCCUUGAGAGCGGGAGAAGGAAGCGGAAUUCCUGGUGUAGCGGUGAAAUGCGUAGAUAUCAGGAAGAACACCAGUGGCGAAAGCGGCUUUCCGGACCGAAUCUGACGCUGAGGCUCGAAAGCCAGGGUAGCGAA
rnacentral:rRNA from 1 species